CGGUAAGGUGAUAUGAACCGUUAUAACCGGCGAUACCCGAAUGGGGAAACCCAGUGUGACUCGUCACACUAUCAUUAACUGAAUCCAUAGGUUAAUGAGGCGAACCGGGGGAACUGAAACAUCUAAGUACCCCGAGGAAAAGAAAUCAACCGAGAUUCCCCCAGUAGCGGCGAGCGAACGGGGAGGAGCCCAGAGCCUGAAUCAGCAUGUGUGUUAGUGGAAGCGUCUGGAAAGGCGCGCGAUACAGGGUGACA
rnacentral:rRNA from 1 species